rnacentral:lncRNA from 1 species
GAAGAAUAGAGAUUAUGGUGUGAGGGAGACGGAGGUUGGGUGGCGACCAUGGAUGGAGAAAGAGAAAAAAAAGGUUAAAUAGUAUUUUAUAAAAUUAUAGAUGAAUUGUUAAUAGAAAAAGAUAUUUGUUAUAUUUAUAAUUUAUAAUUAUAAUAAUUUACGAGUGCAUUUUUUUAUAUUUCAACAUAUAAAAAGAUAUU